rnacentral:rRNA from 1 species
CAGAAACCCGAUCGUAGUCCGGAUCGCAGUCUGCAACUCGACUGCGUGAAGUCGGAAUCGCUAGUAAUCGCGGAUCAGAAUGUCGCGGUGAAUACGUUCCCGGGUCUUGUACACACCGCCCGUCACACCAUGGGAGUGGGUUUCACCAGAAGUAGGUAGCCUAACCGUAAGGAGGGCGCU